GCGGCCACAUAUUUAUAAAAAGUGACUUUAGCCUAGUGGUUCUAAGAGAAAUUACCAGUGCUAGAGGUGAUGGAUUCGAUUACUCUUAACUGCAUUCAUUUAUUUUGGCCCUAAAUAUAAAAUGGGACACGUGUCACUCCCAGAACGCACGAACUGAUGACGUGGCUUCACGGGAGAGAGGCGAACAUCCCCCUACACAUUAAAAGAGAAGUCACUUUAGUGAUUUCUGCUGACAUGGCAUUAAUAUAGAGCUUCUCAGAAAA
rnacentral:lncRNA from 1 species